AUUGAACGCUGGCGGCGUGCCUAACACAUGCAAGUCGAGCGGUAACAGGUGUAGCAAUACAUGCUGACGAGCGGCGAACGGGUGAGUAAUGCUUUGGAAUCUUCCCAGUAGUGGGGAAUAACCAGUCGAAAGAUUGGCUAAUACCGCAUACGUCUGUAAAGGGAAAGCGGGGGCUCGUAAGACCUCGCGCUAUUGGAUGAGCCAAAGUCGGAUUAGCUAGUUGGUGGGGUAAUGGCCUACCAAGGCGACAAUCCGUAGCUGGUCUGAGAG
rnacentral:rRNA from 1 species